GCGGAUGUGGUGGAAUUGGUAGACACACUGGAUUUAGGUUCCAGCGCCGAGAGGCGUAAGAGUUCGAGUCUCUUCAUCCGCACCA
rnacentral:tRNA from 4 species